AGAGAGCUUUGAUUUCUCGGUUGUAGGUUCAAUUCCUAU
rnacentral:tRNA from 1 species